GGACAGUGUGUUAGCAGGGUUCCACGCUACACACUCCAGCUGAGAGGCCAUCUGGUACAAGUUAUCACUGGGGAAAACACACACAGACAGAAAGAUCACAGGUUAUCACUGAGGAAAACACACAGACCGAAAGAUCACAGGUUAUCACUGAGGAAAACACACACAGACCGAAAGAUCACAGGUUAUCACUGAGGAAAACACACACAGACCGAAAGAUCACAGGUUAUCACUGAGGAAAACACACACAGACCGAAAGAUCACAGGUUAUCACUGAGGAAAACACACACAGACCGAAAGAUCACAGGUUAUCACUGAGGAAAACACACACAGACCGAAAGAUCACAGGUUAUCACUGAGGAAAACACACACAGACCGAAAGAUCACAGGUUAUCACUGAGGAAAACACACACAGACCGAAAGAUCACAGGUUAUCACUGAGGAAAACACACACA